GAUGAACGCUGGCGGCGUGCCUAACACAUGCCAGUCGAGCGAUUCUCUUCGGAGAAUGGCGGCUGACGGGUGGGUAACGCGGGGGUAACCACCCCUGUACACACUGCUUACAUACCGGAAAGUAUGCUAAUACGAGAUAACAUACUUUUAUCGCAUUGUAGAAGCAUCAAAGGUUUUGCGGUACAGGGUGGAUCCGCGUCUGAUUAGCUGGUUGGUGGGGUAAUGGCACAGCAAGGCGAGGACCAGUAUCCGACAUGAGAGGGUGAUCGGCCACAUUGGAGCUGAGACACAGUCCAAAAUCCUACGGGAGGGAGGAGAGGGGAAUAUAGCACAAGGGGGGAAGGUCUGAUGGAGCAGCGCCGGGUGAGCGAUGAAGGGCGUCGGGACGUAAAGCUCUGUCCUCAGGGAAGAUAAUGACGGUACUUGAGGAGGAAGCCCCGGCUAACUACGUG
rnacentral:rRNA from 1 species